AGCCGCAACCCUUAUCCUUAGUUGCCAGCACGUAAUGGUGGGAACGUCUAGGGAGACUGCCGGUGAUAAACCGGAGGAAGGUGGGGACGACGUCAAGUCAUCAUGGCCCUUACGAGUAGGGCUACACACGUGCUACAAUGGUACGUACAGAGGGAGGCAAGCUGGCGACAGUGAGCGGAUCUCAUAAAGCGUAUCGUAGUCCGGAUUGGAGUCUGCAACUCGACUCCAUGAAGUCGGAAUCGCUAGUAAUCAUGAAUCAGAAUGUCACGGUGAAUACGUUCCCGGGCCUU
rnacentral:rRNA from 1 species